GAUGAACGCUGGCGGCGUGCCUAAUACAUGCAAGUCGAGCGAACAGACGAGGAGCUUGCUCCUCUGACGUUAGCGGCGGACGUGUGAGUAACACGUGGAUAACCUACCUAUAAGACUGGGAUAACUUCGGGAAACCGGAGCUAAUACCGGAUAAUAUAUUGAACCGCAUGGUUCAAUAGUGAAAGACGGUUUUGCUGUCACUUAUAGAUGGAUCCGCGCCGCAUUAGCUAGUUGGUAAGGUAACGGCUUACCAAGGCAACGAUGCGUAGCCGACCUGAGAGGGUGAUCGGCCACACUGGAACUGAGACACGGUCCAGACUCCUACGGGAGGCAGCAGUAGGGAAUCUUCCGCAAUGGGCGAAAGCCUGACGGAGCAACGCCGCGUGAGUGAUGAAGGUCUUCGGAUCGUAAAACUCUGUUAUUAGGGAAGAACAAAUGUGUAAGUAACUAUGCACGUCUUGACGGUACCUAAUCAGAAAGCCACGGCUAACUACGUG
rnacentral:rRNA from 1 species